rnacentral:rRNA from 1 species
GACGAACGCUGGCGGCGUGCUUAACACAUGCAAGUCGAACGGAAAGGCCCUGCUUUUGUGGGGUGCUCGAGUGGCGAACGGGUGAGUAACACGUGAGUAACCUGCCCUUGACUUUGGGAUAACUUCAGGAAACUGGGGCUAAUACCGGAUAGGAGCUCCUGCUGCAUGGUGGGGGUUGGAAAGUUUCGGCGGUUGGGGAUGGACUCGCGGCUUAUCAGCUUGUUGGUGGGGUAGUGGCUUACCAAGGCUUUGACGGGUAGCCGGCCUGAGAGGGUGACCGGCCACAUUGGGACUGAGAUACGGCCCAGACUCCUACGGGAGGCAGCAGUGGGGAAUAUUGCACAAUGGGCGGAAGCCUGAUGCAGCAACGCCGCGUGCGGGAUGACGGCC